rnacentral:misc_RNA from 1 species
GAAAUGCGAUAAGUAGUGUGAAUUGCAGAAUUCAGUGAAUCAUCGAAUCUUUGAACGCACAUUGCGCCCUUUGGUAUUCCAAAGGGCAUGCCUGUUCGAGCGUCAUUUGUACCCUCAAGCUUUGCUUGGUGUUGGGCGUCUUGUCUUUAGCUUUGCUGGAGACUCGCCUUAAAGUAAUUGGCAGCCGGCCUACUGGUUUCGGAGCGCAGCACAAGUCGCACUCUCUAUCAGCAAAGGUCUAGCAUCCAUUAAGCCUUUUUUCAACUUUUGACCUCGGAUCAGGUAGGGAUACCCGCUGAACUUAAGC